rnacentral:rRNA from 1 species
CAGUCGCCGCGGUAAUACGUAGGGUGCGAGCGUUAAUCGGAAUUACUGGGCGUAAAGCGUGCGCAGGCGGUUUUGUAAGACAGGCGUGAAAUCCCCGGGCUCAACCUGGGAAUGGCGCUUGUGACUGCAAAGCUAGAGUGCGGCAGAGGGGGAUGGAAUUCCGCGUGUAGCAGUGAAAUGCGUAGAUAUGCGGAGGAACACCGAUGGCGAAGGCAAUCCCCUGGGCCCGCGCUGACGCUCAUGCACGAAAGCGUGGGGAGCAAACAGGAUUAGAUACCCCUGUAGUCCCUGUCUCUUAUAC